GUAACAAGGAAGUAAUAUAACCUUGUGCUUACAAAAUGGAAGACUUGUCAAGUAAUGGCAAAUAUUGAACACUAUAACAUAAAGACAAAUACAAAGUAAGAUAACAAUAUUCAGAAUAAAGUAUUAUUAUACCCAUAUCUUUCUCAAGGUUACCAACCAAUGACAGUCUGUCAACAAGUAGAUCUCAAGGUUACCAACCAAUGACAGUCUGUCAACAAGUAGAUCUCAAGGUUAUCAACCAAUGAGUCUGUUAACAAGUAGAUCUCAAGGUUAUCAACCAAUGACAGUCUGUUAACAAGUAGAUCUCAAGGUUAUCAACCAAUGACAGUCUGUUAACAAGUAGAUCUCAAGGUUAUCAACCAAUGACAGUCUGUUAACAAGUAGAUUUCAAGGCUAUCAACCAAUGAGUCUGUUAACAAGUAGAUCUCAAGGUUAUCAACCAAUGAGUCUGUUAACAAGUAGAUAUAUACAGUGACAAAAGUAAC